rnacentral:rRNA from 1 species
UACGUAGGUGGCAAGCGUUAUCCGGAUUUAUUGGGCGUAAAGAGAACGCAGGCGGUCUUUUAAGUCUGAUGUGAAAGCCUUCGGCUUAACCGGAGUAGUGCAUUGGAAACUGGGAGACUUGAGUGCAGAAGAGGAGAGUGGAACUCCAUGUGUAGCGGAGAAAUGCGUAGAUAUAUGGAAGAACACCAGUGGCGAAAGCGGCUCUCUGGUCUGUAACUGACGCUGAGGUUCGAAAGCGUGGGUAGCAAACAGG